rnacentral:lncRNA from 10 species
AGUUGAGAAAUGGAUACUCUGGUCUACUCUUGACCAACAGCUCAAGAUGAGACAGAAAACUGCAAGAAUGAUAGAUGAGUAUAAUGAGGAAGAUUCCUUGAAAACUUGUGGUCAGAGAGUUGAUGGGAUGGGGGUAGAGAGAGUUCCCAGGGAGCUAGUGACAUAGGUCUAAGAAAUACUCAGUAUCCUCAGAGAAAAGUUUUUUGAUCAUGUGCUACAGUGGUGGAGGAUGUGGCUGCAGAGACUAGGCAGUUUUAAACAAAACCCCCAAAGUCCAGACAAAUGAACCUGAGACUUCCAAAGAUCUGGAGACAAGGUAAAGACUACAACAGAAAUAAGGAUGAAUUUAUUUAAAGCAAUCUCAGUAAUAAAUCAAUAACAAUUGAUUGGCCGGGCGUGAGCCACCACGCCCAGCCUAUGCUACCAGUCUUAUAUCAAUUCAGCCAAACCUGUCUGACACACUGACUACAUGCACAUGCUUACUGGUUAAAGGGUGUAUGUGCCAAAUUGAAGUGGGGCAGUCAGUAGAAAGGAGGUUUAUAGAGAAGUUACAGUGCAUAGAAAAGCCUAGAUCUGGGAUAUGGUAGUUUUCAAGAGAAGGUCUCAUUUUUUUUUUUUUCUGUAAAAUCUUGAGGUAGCUAUAGUAAAUAGUUAAACCACAAGUUUCCUGGGAGGACAGAUGUGCUUCUGAAUUCUAUUGACCUUGGUGUGGAGCCUGUUAAAUUUUUUUUUAUAUUGUCAAUAAAAUAAAUAUAUUAAAAUAAUUUAUAUAUCUCAACAUUUGCUAUACUAAUGGAGUAGAUACCCCACCCACAAAAUUCUUAUUUUACUGGCUUUGGACCAGACAAGCUAUUUUGCUCAGUGAAAAACACUGAAUUUUCCAGUGUUUGUGAAUAAAUAAAUAACCUUCAAAAUAAGAAAUAGAUAAAAAAAAUUCACAUCCAUCCAUCCAUCUCUUCAUCAGUCUAAAAAGUAAUUUUUGCCUUGUGAUAUACUUUUCCACUUCAUCUUCUAUAUUACUUUAGGUUUACAUGCCAGGUACUACUUUCAGCAAAGGAACCUUUUUUUUUUUUUAGAAAAAUUCCAAUACUUUGUUCAAUUUCUUGCACUACAGUUUGAAACACAUUUUCAGUCUCCCAUGGAAUCUGCUCCCCAACUCAGAUGGAUUUUAGCUUUGCCUAAAUCUCUCCCUAUCCCAGGUUCCUUUUGUAUUAUGAUUUGGAGCAAACCUUUUUAGAAAGACACCGAAUCUAUAGAUGUUGCAAAGACAACUCAAAUUUAAAUCAGAAACAGAAACUGCCUUACAGUACAUGUGCUUUUUCUAUUUUGUA